rnacentral:rRNA from 1 species
GCCCCUACUCCUACGGGAGGCAGCAGUGGGGAAUAUUGGACAAUGGGCGAAAGCCUGAUCCAGCCAUGCCGCGUGUGUGAAGAAGGUCUUCGGAUUGUAAAGCACUUUAAGUUGGGAGGAAGGGUUGUAGAUUAAUACUCUGCAAUUUUGACGUUACCGACAGAAUAAGCACCGGCUAACUCUGUGCCAGCAGCCGCGGUAAUACAGAGGGUGCAAGCGUUAAUCGGAAUUACUGGGCGUAAAGCGCGCGUAGGUGGUUCGUUAAGUUGGAUGUGAAAUCCCCGGGCUCAACCUGGGAACUGCAUCCAAAACUGGCGAGCUAGAGUAUGGUAGAGGGUGGUGGAAUUUCCUGUGUAGCGGUGAAAUGCGUAGAUAUAGGAAGGAACACCAGUGGCGAAGGCGACCACCUGGACUGAUACUGACACUGAGGUGCGAAAGCGUGGGGAGCAAACAGGAUUAGAUACCCUGGUAGUCCACGCCGUAAACGAUGUCAACUAGCCGUUGGGAGCCUUGAGCUCUUAGUGGCGCAGCUAACGCAUUAAGUUGACCGCCUGGGGAGUACGGCCGCAAGGUUAAAACUCAAAUGAAUUGACGGGGGCCCGCACAAGCGGUGGAGCAUGUGGUUAGUUUGAAGCAACGCGAAGAACCUUACCAGGCCUUGACAUCCAAUGAACUUCCUAGAGAUGGACUC